CACGUAGGGCGCAAGCGUUGUCCGGAAUUAUUGGGCGUAAAGAGCUCGUAGGCGGUCUGUUGCGUCCGCUGUGAAAACUCGGGGCUUAACCCCGAGCCUGCAGUGGAUACGGGCAGACUAGAGGUAGGUAGGGGAGAAUGGAAUUCCCGGUGUAGCGGUGAAAUGCGCAGAUAUCGGGAGGAACACCAGCGGCGAAGGCGGCGCUCUGGGCCUUACCUGACGCUGAGGAGCGAAAGCGUGGGGAGCGAACAGG
rnacentral:rRNA from 1 species